rnacentral:rRNA from 1 species
AUUGAACGCUGGCGGCAUGCCUUACACAUGCAAGUCGAACGGCAGCGGGGGAGAAGCUUGCUUUUCCUGCCGGCGAGUGGCGAACGGGUGAGUAAUACAUCGGAACGUGCCCUGUAGUGGGGGAUAACUAGUCGAAAGAUUAGCUAAUACCGCAUACGACCUGAGGGUGAAAGUGGGGGACCGCAAGGCCUCAUGCUAUAGGAGCGGCCGAUGUCUGAUUAGCUAGUUGGUGGGGUAAAGGCCUACCAAGGCGACGAUCAGUAGCUGGUCUGAGAGGACGAUCAGCCACACUGGGACUGAGAAACGGCCCAGACUCCUACGGGGGGCAGCAGUGGGGAAUUUUGGACAAUGGGCGAAAGACUGAUCCAGCAAUGCCGCGUGUGGGAAGAAGGCCUUCGGGUUGUAAAGCACUUUUGUCCGGAAAGAAAUGGCUCUGGUUAAUACCUGGGGUCGAUGACGGUACCGGAAGAAUAAGGACCGGCUAACUACGUGCCAGCCGCCGCGGUAA